GACGAACCGUGCGAACGUUGUUCGGAAUCACUGGGCUUAAAGGGCGCGUAGGCGGCUUGGUAAGUCUCGGGUGAAAUCUUUCGGCUCAACCGGAAACGUGCCUGGGAUACUGCCAAGCUGGAGGGAGGUAGGGGCGGAUGGAACUUCCGGUGGAGCGGUGAAAUGCGUUGAUAUCAGGAGGAACACCGGUGGCGAAGGCGGGUCUCUGGGCAGUAACUGACGCUGAGGAGCGAAAGCGUGGGGAGCGAACAGG
rnacentral:rRNA from 1 species